UACAGAGGUGGCAAGCGUUGUUCGGAAUUACUGGGCGUAAAGGGCGCGUAGGCGGCCAUCUAAGUCAGACGUGAAAUCCCCCGGCUUAACCUGGGAACUGCGUCCGAUACUGGAUGGCUUGGAUUUGGGAGAGGAAUGCGGAAUUCCAGGUGUAGCGGUGAAAUGCGUAGAUAUCUGGAGGAACACCGGUGGCGAAGGCGGCAUUCUGGACCGAUAUUGACGCUGAGGAGCGAAAGCCAGGGGAGCAAACGGG
rnacentral:rRNA from 1 species